CGCGGGGUGGAGCAGCCUGGUAGCUCGUCGGGCUCAUAACCCGAAGGUCGUCGGUUCAAAUCCGGCCCGCAA
rnacentral:tRNA from 1 species